CUCCUCUCAAAUUCAGACCUCCUAACAUCUUGUUUGCUGUGUGUUAGUCAGCUUUUUAUCUCUGUGAGCAAACACCUGAAAAAAACAACUUAGAAGAGGGAAGGUUUCUCUGGGCUCCUGGGUUUGGGAGUUUCAGUCCAUGGUGACUGGGUGAGGCGGAACCAUGAUGGUGGAAGGGUGUGGCGAAAGCAAGCUGCUCACCUCAUGGUGACCAGGCAGCAGAGAACAGGAAAAGUCCCCAAGGAAGGUGCCAGGGGCAGAGACAGUCUCCAAGGCCACACCCCUGUGACCUACUCCCUUCAGCUGGGCCCAGUGCCGGCUUCAGCUACUUCCCAUGACUGCCGUUUAAUUAUGAUCACAUCAGUGGAUUAACCACAGAUGCCUAACAACUCUUACGAUCCAUUUCUUCCCCAGAAGCACAUCUGCUGGCAAUGAAGCCUUCGCUCAGUGAGCCUGUUGGGGGUGUUUUGGAUCCUGGCCAUCAAACUGCUUCCCUUCCUCACCCAAGCCGGUAUUCAGGCUUCCUAGACACAGAACCCCAGGCGGAGCCCAGGCUCUGAGCAAGCUGCUUCCGCUCAGGCCUCAGUUUCUGCAUGCGGAAGGACAGCAGUGCCUGGCUUCUCCAAAUUAUCUCUGGGAUCCACCAUGGCUCUGGGGGAACCUGAUUCAGCAGGCCCUUUGGAAUCCUCUGCAUGGUCACGCAGCACGACCUGCAGCGGACUGUGUGAGCCGCCCACCCAGACCCAGGACUUCCAGCCAGGAUUGCACACACCAUGGAGCUCCAAUGAGCUCUAGACAGUUCGCAAAAUUAUAUCAUGUCUGACUCAUUCUGAUUUCUCAGAGUGGGUGCACUGUGGGUUAAAAACAGGACCAAUGUGAGAACCAGGAUCCCAGCAGCCAUGGCUUGGCCAGCAUCUCCGCCCGUCGCGAGCCCAUCUGGGCACCCUGGGUCCAGGCUGGAGGGAGUCACAGAG
rnacentral:lncRNA from 1 species